rnacentral:rRNA from 1 species
AGCGAACGCUGGCGGCAGGCCUAACACAUGCAAGUCGAACGAACUCUUCGGAGUUAGUGGCGGACGGGUGAGUAACACGUGGGAACGUGCCUUUUGGUUCGGAAUAACUCAGGGAAACUUGUGCUAAUACCGAAUGUGCCCUUCGGGGGAAAGAUUUAUCGCCAUUAGAGCGGCCCGCGUCUGAUUAGCUAGUUGGUGAGGUAACGGCUCACCAAGGCGACGAUCAGUAGCUGGUCUGAGAGGAUGACCAGCCACACUGGGACUGAGACACGGCCCAGACUCCUACGGGAGGCAGCAGUGGGGAAUCUUGCGCAAUGGGCGAAGGCCUGACGCAGCCAUGCCGCGUGAAUGAUGAAGGUCUUAGGAUUGUAAAAUUCUUUCAACGGGGACGAUAAUGACGGUACCCGGAGAAGAAGCCCCGGCUAACUUCGUG